rnacentral:lncRNA from 1 species
GUUCCUUCAAAAGCAGUGGUGGGCAGGAGGCUCCGGACUGUGUGACAGGCAAGAGUUUGUGUUUGCUUAGUCCUGUAUUGACUGUAAGCCCAUCUUCCUCUCUCUGUCCUCCCUCCUGUUCCAGUUUACCUGGGGUGAGGAAGCAGUAGCUGCUGCCAAGCUUUCUGCAGAAGAGGUUACAGCAGGAGAAUGACACAGCACUUUAAGGACUCUAGAGAAACAAAGAAACCUCUGCUUCCUUUGUAGAGCACAGGAGAGGAAUGAAGGGAUGAAAAGAGUUGGCAUGCGAGACGGGUAAGAUGGAGCCCCCAAUCUCACAGGAGCUUUUGAUCUACACGGGGACAAGAGAGAUGUGAACAAACAUAACACAGACAGUGGAAGAAGUGGAGCUUUAAGGAAGCUGGAGCCAAGGUUGAAUGCAGGACUGUUUUGCUGAAAGGUUUCCAGUUGCCUAUGGUGGUAGUAAGAAGAUGCUAAAAUAACUAACUAAAUAAAAGCCAUAGAUCAUUUAAGUCAUCAAAUCUCAACCAGGCCAAUCAAAACAACCAUAAAGACACAUCGAGAUGAAACUUCAAAUACUGUGGCACAGCUGUGGACUACGAAGAAACAAAGAACUAAACUCAGAUCAGAACAGUUGUUAAAAUAGAAUAAUAUGUCUGUGUCUCGGAGACUAAAAUACGCCUGGCACCAACAGAAGUACUGAGUAUUGAAAGUUGAGACAAGUCACUCAUGACUUUUAUGGACUGGUGGUGAAGACAGGCAGUGAUUGAUACAUUACGAAGUGGUCAGAUUCAGAACAGAAUUACUCACAGAAUUCUACGGAAAGACAGAAGAUAGAGCCCUAAAUCCAGCCUGAAAGAAUCAUGACAAACUUCCUAGAAGACACCUGGGCUGAAUCUUAAAGGAAUGACCUAAUUGUCAAGAGGGUAACAUGUUUUGAGAGUUGCCAUUGGAAUAGAAGUCCCUAAGCUUCCUUGGCUUGUCAGCCUCAUUCCCUUCUGUCCGGCUUUCUCCUCAGCCACAUAACAUCACUCUCCCACCCAAUUUUUAAGUUCAUAUUUUUUUAAAUAGGCAAAGAUUUCUCUCCUUUAGGCAACCACUUGAAAACACCUAGUAAAAAAUUCUGAUUUGCCUGGCUUGAAUUUCCUUGGAAAUACUUAGUCCAAUCAUUUUGGCUGAGGUAAUGGUGUUUUCUGAUUGGUCUAGUUUGACUCAUCCAAUCUGCCUGGAAUGCUGGUUAUCUAAGCAACUUCUAUUUAAAACCUACAGAAGGAGAAAAGCAUUUAACAGAUGAUGCAGAAAAGACUGUUGAUCAGAUUGAAUAGUUGACACUUCUAGGGACUAUCAUUCAACCUACCAGUAGCAAAAAGGAAUUACCACUCUGUGGAUACAUUUCAGGUCAUGCUUGCCUAAUGAAAGACUGUAAGUCAAAAAGAAAUAAACAUUUGCUGAGUUACAUUUUGGGCCAACCCUUUGGGAGGUGCUUUUCUUUCACUAUCUCAUAAAGCUUCUCACUACAACCUUUAGAGACAGGUACUAUUUUAAGUAUGAGGAACGUAGAGGUUAAGUAACUCUUAGAAGAUCAUAUGGAUUUGGAAAUCACAGAGAUUUAAUUCGUUUUUAAUUAGCAUUCCAUCUUCCUCCCACUGUACCAUGUGGGAUCUUUGGAAAACAAUAUUUGUAGCACAAUGCAUCAUCUUCCAAAUGAACAGAGGUGUGCAGAUAAAUAGGAGCUUCGUUUUGUUUUAUUUUUUUGCUGACUUUAUGAUAAGAUGGUUUUCUUUCUUCAAAUUUUAAUGUGCUGCGUCAGACGAAAAUAUAUAAUGAGUGCUUUGGAUUUUCUGUCUUUUGGGCUGAUUCUGUAAAAUGUGUCACAUCUCUCUUCCUUAGAGAGAGUAAUCAAUGGGGUGCAUUGUGAUUUCCACAUAAUAUCAUCCCCAGGACCAUUUCUCUUUAGGCACACAGUGUAGGGAUGGAAAGGGGAUAGAAGGGGUGCUUGUAAAUUUCUGCAUUCAUAUUGAACAUUUUCCCAAUAGGAUGGUACAGAAAAUGUCAAUAAUUAAUUGGGAAAUAUUUGUUUAUCUUUAUGGAGAGAUUUUGUUAUUAAGCUUAGAUAAAACAUUUUUUGGAAGGGUCAUUGUCCCUGGCUCUCUAACUGUGGACUGGCAGAAUACGGGGUGUGUUGGGUGUGGUGCUGCAAAGACAACGUUUAGAUCAUUUCGUGGGAGGCCAAUCACUACUCCUUAGGGUGCCCUAUUGCUCAUUUCAUUAGCACAGCACAGGGUUCCCUAGGAAUUAUAUUUUUCCCUCUCUCCGGUAAACAUUAAACUUAGUUACAGAGAUGAGCGAGAUGUAUAAAUAGAGGGGAAAAGGUGUUUCUCAUUUUAUUACUCUUUUGUGUAAUAGUAGUAAAAGUUUUGUAGGGAGUAUUGUAUACAGUAAAACAAUCAUUUGUCAAUGGGUAAACUUACUGAACACCAACGUCUGCUUUUAAAAGAUCCCUUGUGUGUCAUGAACUACACAGUGUUCAUAAAAAGUUGUACUCCAGGGUUACAUAUUCUUGUUUCCUCAAUUACUGGAGUUUCCUGAAAUCUCCAAGGAAAGAGGAUUAAACAUUUAUUGUCAGGAAGCACCAGGUUUCACUUCGUCCUGUGCUUUGACACAUUCAUUAUCCCAGACUUUAAAUUUUCGAUUACAGAAUCCAUAAAGUACCACCAACACACACAUACACACACAAAUAAACACAUAAACACACAAACAAUCACAAAAUAGUUAAAAGUGGUGAAUUUUAAAAAGGCAAAAAAAGGGCAAGGACCAGUUUUGAUGACUCUAUUCUUAGUCUCUCAUGUUAGUUUUACCAUUACAGACAGUAUGUCUCCUUGAGGAAUACCUGGGGUUAUAUUUG